GAUGAAGAACGUAGCGAAAUGCGAUAAGUAGUGUGAAUUGCAGAAUUCAGUGAAUCAUCGAAUCUUUGAACGCACAUUGUGCCCGCCAGCAUUCUGGCGGGCAUGCCUGUUCGAGCGUCAUUUCAACCCUCGAGCCCCCCCGGGGGCCUCGGUGUUGGGGGACGGCACACCAGCCGCCCCCGAAAUGCAGUGGCGACCCCGCCGCAGCCUCCCCUGCGUAGUAGCACACACCUCGCACCGGAGCGCGGAGGCGGUCACGCCGUAAAACGCCCAACUUUCUUAGAGUUGACCUCGGAUCAGGUAGGAAUACCCGCUGAACUUAAGCAUAUCAAUAAGCGGAGGA
rnacentral:misc_RNA from 1 species